GGCCCAAAUUUGAAGUAGGGUAGAUUUGUAGGUUCAGCUGACCAUACUAAUCACUCUAGUUCGAGUUUGUGCCC
rnacentral:pre_miRNA from 1 species